rnacentral:lncRNA from 1 species
GUCGCCCGGCCGCCGCCACGCCAGCGGCUCCCCGGCCCCGGCCGACUACAGCUCAGUGAAACGUCCGGCCACGCCGUCCUCCCCCAGCGACGUGGUCAUGGACUCGCCCACCCACAAACGACCCCGCCUCACCUAAGGCUAAAUGAACUCGUCCGCCAGCUGCGCCGCCCAAAUUAUUAGCCGGAGUCGGCCGGCGACCGGCGCUGUUUUGUGCGUGUGUGUGUGUAUAUACGCGUGCGCGUGUGUGCGCCUGCGUGCACAGACGUGACCACUAAAUUGUCGGUGGGGCCUCAGCGGCGGGGCGUGGCCCAGGGGAUUGCCCGGCGCUCGCGCGGUCCGAUCUCACGGCGCCGGGCCCGGACAGCGUGUCGGCGCCGCGGCCUUCGCGUGCUCGGAUCCCCGGCCGGUGACGUCAUUGGUCACGUCAUCAGUCGGGGGCAGCCGUGCGCGCGCCUCAGGCAGCGGUCGGAGCCGGUAGUGUAGCGUCGCGUCGCGGUGUGUGCGCGGGCGGUGCGGUUGCCGCGCGGGCGGGGUGGGUGGGUAGAUGGGCUGCAGCGCCGGUUGGCGGUGGGGGGCCCGCGGACGCGCCGGCGCGCUGCGGGAAUCAUGAGCUGCUGCGCCGGCUGGACGGCGCCCAGCAGGCAGCCGCCAGCUGUGACGCGCCGCGCUUUCUCGUUUGGCAGCGGCUGGACUCGCGGGGCCCGCCCUGUGUCGACGUUCGGUACCAAGUCAGUCGGGCUCGGUUUAUUACGCGAAAAGCGAGAGGAAAAAUGGCGGCGCUGUCGACAAAGUCCGAAUCGUUACAACAGUUUACUUUUGGACUUGUUUAAAUUUUAUUUGGCGUUGAAUGGGCUAUGCGGUUGAAAUCCCGGUGCACACUUCAUCUGUUGGUACCGUGAUAGGGUGACUGUUGACAUUUAGGCCUGCCACAAUGUGUGUUCGUUCCUUAAGGGGCUAUCAAAAAUGUUUAUACAGCUCUGGCUUGUACCUAAUUUGUUGGUUAAAUGACGUUUUCCUAGAUGUAGUGCCGCAAAAUGUUUACCGCUUCUUGAAUAAAGGAAACACCAGGCUACUUAUGCAUAAUUGAGCCAUGUGGGUAUGCCAUCUGUCCAAGCGCGCUGGUGACGCCGUUUUGUCACGUAACUGAGUACGGACUCCGUUCUCCAAACGUGCAUGUGAUGAGCGUGUACUAUAAGACACAGAUCGGGCUCGUGGUGGGUAGGAUGAGAGUGUCGCCUUGCCCUGCCCACUGCACCAAGACGGCGUGCCAGGCGGGGUCUCAGAUGUGUGUGCGUGUGUGUGUGUGUGUGCGUGUGCUUGUGUGGCCCUGGCCUGGUGCGCGGCCACCUCCCCCGGAGCCGUGGCCCGCCUGCGCCCCGCGCCUGCCAGCCAGUCUCGGUCAGACUGCCAGCUCUGAGCCCCGCGGCGCGGACCCGGGGCCGCUGCGGGUUGGUGCCGGCCCGCUGGCGGCCGGCGGCGCCACCGGCGCCCUGUGUGCUCCUCUGCGGACGGCGGCUCGAUGUCGCUCUGAUGCCGAACCGCCGCGGGGCCUGCUCAGCCGUGCCGCCUCAGCCGUACGGUCUCAGCCGCGCUGGGGUGGCCGUGAGGGCCGCCGUUAUCGUGUGACGCCUGUUCGUGAGGCGAUGGGUCCCGCCGCCCCGGUUCGUGAGGCGAUGGGUCCCGCCGCCCUGGUCCGUGAAGUGGUGGGCCCCGUCGCCCCGGUCCGUGGAGUGGUGGGCCCCGCCGCCCCAGUCUGUGAAGUGGUGGGCCCCGCCGCCCCUGGUCUGUGAGGUGGUGGGUCCCGCCGCCCCGAUCCGUGAAGUGGUGGGCCCCGCCGCCCCGGUCCGUGAGGUGGUGGGCCCCGCCGCUCCAGUCCGUGAGGUGGCCCAACGCGCUUCUCUGGAGGUCGCUGUCUUGCUCUGCCCUCUCCCCAUCCGCUCGCACGCCUGUCAUGUUCUGAAAGUGGGGUUGCCCCUCCCCCUGACCGGGCUGUCGGCGGACCUGUCCUGCGCUGUCGGCCCAGACGCGGCGGGGUCAUGAGGUGCCUGACGGGGUGCAUGCGGCGGACAUCGCCCGGUUGCCUGCGCGCUACCGAACCUCGCAUUUGAGUCCCAGUGCGGACAGUUUGGCGGCGUGUGGCGUGUGGCUGCGAUUGCGGUAAUAAAGAUUGCUAAAACGCGCCUGGCGUGCUCAGCGGUGCGCGCAGUGGGCAGCAGCAGCACUAAUGCAGCAGACGGUGAUCGGUGGGCGACGGAUCGGGCAGCGUUGUCGGCGUUGAGCACCUCCCUUUGUUUCAUAUGUGAUGUGUUCUUUCCUUCAUUGACGAGCUGAAUGACCGAGCUGUUUCCUGUAAGGUCUUCAUUCGCGUAGGCAUUGUCGGGCUGAUCCGGGCAUAGCGAACGAGCAAGGAAAACGAGAGAGCGAGUGCAGGUGUGCAGGCGAGAGCGACUCCCAGCGGUCUUGUUUGCUCGUUUGCUGGCCUGUCGGGGUGAUGGUCGAGCUGUGAUCGCGAAAGCGUGCUGUAUAGAGCGAUAGCACAGAGUUGUCGGUGGACCAUGCGGUGCUUAGGCAGCAGUAGAACUCAUAAAGCUGACACAUUUUUCUUCACCAUCUCAAAAAGGCCCGCCUCAAUAAAACGUGUUAUGUAAGGUA